GGGUGAUUAGGAUAAUGAUGUACAUGUAUGCAAUCCUGGAAUCGAAUCUACCGUUUUUCUCCUGAUGUCGUAUCCAUACUAUUGACACGUGCCUUUUAGGCCUCUACGGGACAAGUAUGCCUUAUUUUAGGUGUCUAAUUAUUUAUCUAUCUCCCGUAAACGGGUUCAUAAUCGUCUUUAUUUUAUAUCUUCACACAAGGCCUGGGGCCUUCCUUAUUUGGUAUACGCUGUUAUUUCCCCACAUGGCUCCCGCUCUUUAUGCAACAGUUCGUACAGAUAUUUACUACGGUUUGAUACGCUAUUGCAUGCGGGACCAGCAAUCUCGUGGCCAUGGACUUCCAUGGCCGCAACUAGAUACUAUUGCCAUCACCUUCCUUUUCUCUCUCUCUCUUGCCUUCCACCUUCAGGCGGAAGCUUCGGCUUUCGUCUGUCUUGCCUUGUGCUCUCAAUAUCGUCUAUUGAACUAAGUUAGCUCCUUUCAA